rnacentral:tRNA from 1 species
GGGACCAUAGCUCAGUUGGUAGAGCACGAGCCUUUUAAGCUUGGUGUCGCGGGUUCGAGACCCGCUGGUCCCUCCA